rnacentral:misc_RNA from 1 species
UUUCCGUAGGUGAACCUGCGGAAGGAUCAUUACUAACGUAUCCACGUAUAAACCAAAAACAGUUGAAUUUGUUUCGAAAACAUAUUCGUCCGUUAGGCUGGGAAUGAGUUGAUUUGGAGAUGUUUCUAUCUAUAUGAGAGAAAAUGUACAUCUCUGGUUGACUUCGGGCCUUCACGGGCUUACCCUACCUAGUUCGCGAAUUAAAAUAUAUCAAAAACAUUAAACUCAUAUUUUAACCCAUUUCACCCUAUUCUUUUAAAUGAACUUAACCUGAAUUCAUUAGAAAUAAUGAGUCUGACAAAAUACGAAAUUAAGAACAACUCUUAACAACGGAUAUCUUGGCUCUC